rnacentral:rRNA from 1 species
CCCUUAGACGUUCUGGGCCGCACGCGCGCUACACUGACCAGUGCAACAAGCAUCCGUCCUUGGCCGACAGGCCCGGGCAAUCUUUGAACGCUGGUCGUGAUGGGGAUAGACUUUUGCAAUUUUUGGUCUUCAACGAGGAAUUCCUAGUAAACGCAAGUCAUCAACUUGCAUUGAUUACGUCCCUGCCCUUUGUACACACCACCCGUCGCACCUACCGAUUGAAUGGUCCGGUGAAGCCUCCGGAUUGGCGCGCACCUCGGUGCCGCCGAGAAGUUGGCUAAACCUUACCAUUUAGAGGAAGGUGAAGUCGUAACA